CUUGUACAACAAAGCGGGAGAGACGUGCGGAGGCAGCGAGACGGUGGAGCAGAGGAGACGAAGAACAAGGACGGCAGAGUAGCAGGAGAGAGAGAGAGAGAGACAGAGAGACAGAGAAGAGUUUAGCUUGCGUGAAUAGGAGGAAGAAAAGGGGAUACCUGUGGACGGAAAAAAAAUCAGAGAAAGCAGGCGACGCAGAGAAACAACAUUCUGAUGGGAGGCGCCGCCAACAGAGAGUGAGCCGAAAGAGAGGGAAGCAGAGGGAGUGCGAAAAGGUUUCGUUUUUUAGAGUUUUUGGUGGAAGCUUUCAACAGAGAGUGACAAGAGAAACAGAGAGGAAGUAAGAGGCAUAUCGGCUACUGAAAUCUGGGUUUUGAGGUUUAAGCGGAAAGGAAGAUUAGAGAGUAGGGGGAGAGAUUUUCCGGGUUUCACAACUUAGUAAGAGUGAGAGCCAAUAGGGAGGGGAUUGUUGGUUCUCUAAUAGGAUAAGCAAAGAAGAGACAGAGAAGAAGAAAACAGGAGAGAAGAAGAGGAAAGACAGGGAAGCAAUUUCGGUUUUUGGAAGAGUUACUCAAUGGAGGCACUAUUAGGGUUUGGAGAAGAUGCUGUAGCCAAAGGUGAUCAUGAGCGACCAUCAUCGUCUGACAACUUCAAAUUGGUGCCUUGGAUGAGCUGGGAUGAAUGGGAAUUUGUCAGAGAAUCUCUAUUCUCUUCAUCUGCUGACAAAGUUGCCUCUGCACUUAAAAGAAUAUCAACAUGGCGGAUGAGAGGAUGUAUACCAGCUGCAGUUGAUGUCACUGCUUCAAUCAUUGAAAUUCAGCAGAAAGAUGGUUUCAUUACGUAUCAAUAA